rnacentral:rRNA from 1 species
GGGGGAAUAUUGGGCAAUGGGCGAAAGCCUGACCCAGCGACGCCGCGUGAGGGAAGAAGGUCUUCGGAUUGUAAACCUUAGUCAACAGGGAAGAAGAAAGUGACGGUACCUGUGGAGGAAGCCACGGCUAACUACGUGCCAGCAGCCGCGGUAAUACGUAGGUGGCGAGCGUUAUCCGGAUUUACUGGGUGUAAAGGGAGUGUAGGCGGCUUUGCAAGUCAGAUGUGAAAGCCCGGGGCUCAACCCCGGGACUGCAUUUGAAACUGUGAAGCUGGAGUGUCGGAGAGGUAAGUGGAAUUCCUAGUGUAGCGGUGAAAUGCGUAGAUAUUAGGAAGAACACCAGUGGCGAAGGCGGCUUACUGGACGAUUACUGACGCUGAGGCUCGAAAGCGUGGGGAGCAAACAGGAUUAGAUACCCUGGUAGU